ensembl:lncRNA
UCUGACUGGUCGGAGUACAUGGAGUUACAGGAUAUGUUUGCUGUAAACGUGUGAAUCAAUAGCAAAGUGAGGAUCGUUGUGAAGAUGCAAAGAAUGGAGCGACAAAGAUGAGAGACAUGAAAGUGCCCCUAUUUGUCCUGUGGAAGUCAAAAUACAUCCACUUACCCGUGUUCCCACUCCCAACAGCUAGACCUUGGACCACUACAUCCGAUCUCUCGGAGACUUGAGGUUGAAGAUUCACAGCUGCCUCCAAAGAGGCGAGAUUGUCUAAAGAGAAGAUGCUCCACUGAGUUGUCUGCGACAAUGGUCAGAACCUGGAUAGUGCAUCAUGAUGGAGGUGUUUAAUACAACAGAACUGAACAUGGC